AUUUUUCCUCAUUGCAAAAUAAUCAAAGCAUUGAUGAGUGUUUCUGUUUAAAUUCAAAGGACAUUCCACCUUUAACCUUAGCAUUCAUGAGACACAAAAUGGGUUUUUCUUUUUGCUGAUUUAAAAAGCUGCUAUGAAGCUGCACAGUGCGGAAGAGGGCACCCCUGCUCCAGAAAAGAAGAAACAAAACUGCCUGCCAUAGACACUUGGUAGGGAGUGGCAAAUGGAAUCUUGGUUUGUUUUUCUCUUAGGACUUUGACAAUUAUUUUUCCUUGAAAAGAAUAAGAGAAUCUACCUAAAAUAUUAAUACUAGUUUCAGAGCUCUAGGAUAAUAUAGAGCAGAGUCUCUUUUUUUUAAAAAAGGAAAGCGGUUUCAUUUCUGACAGUGGAUUUCUUCCACUGAUGUGCACACUCUUUGACAUGAAAAGCUGCACGAAGCUGCCUUGAAUUCAUUCUGCAGAUGGAAAGUUGCAAGUACGGUAAUUAGCUAAGCAGUGGCAAGGCCGACCAUCUGAGGUUUGAUUUCUCAUCAAGAGAUAGUGUCCGACACACGUGCCACUGAGCAUGCUUGCAGGGAGGAACUUGGAUUGUCCUUCAGUAAAAUUCCACUUUGAUGCGCAAAGCGAACUUGAAUUUCUGCUUGGCCUACCACAGGCCUGCAACAUGCACUUUCUCCUCGAGGGAACUGCCACUCACUGACACGGACAACAGUAAAGGAACUUGGUCUUCACUAUGCCUCAUAGUGGUGGGUCACACUGCCCAGGAGGAACCCGCAAUGAGACCGGCAAAUGCCUUAACCAUCUCAUUGUCUCAUCAGGAAGAAGCUUAAAUGACUCUUCUUGCUCACAUACUUCCUGGGCAAACAUGUCUGCUCUGUUGGGAUAAAGGACGCUCUAGACCAGGCUCUGCUGAAAGAUCCAGGGCAAAGGUUCCUGACAAGACUAUGUCCAGCCUCAAAUAAGGCCACAGAAGAGCCCAGGCUCGCUGACGAGCACCGGCUCCGAGGCAGUCACAUCAGGAGACAGAAACAGACAUGUUGGUGCUGCCCUCUCAGGUCAGUGCAAAUGCCACUUGAGGAGGGCUGAGAGCUUUGCAGCAUAAAAUGACCAGAACAAGGAGAAACACAGAUGCAAUGGCAAUAGCUGGCAAUUCGCACAUGGCGUCAAACACCACUGCCACAGAAGCUUUUUAGCUACAAGCCACGCUAUGCAACCUUUAAGCAAAACAUUAUUGAUUUUGUGGUUGUAAAAACAUACCUUCAACUGCAGAACUCAGUUUUAUGACACCUUGAAUAAAAACAAAAAGUGGCAGUUAUAUAAUGGACCCAAAUCGCCUUUUCCAGGCUUCUCAUAACACACGCAUGCUUCAGAUUUGGAUUUUUCUUUUUCUGCUGGCAUUGCAAGAACGUAACUAAACAAAUAUCAACUUCAAAAAUAAAAUAAUUUUUAGUCUUAA
ensembl:lncRNA novel transcript, antisense to DLGAP1